rnacentral:lncRNA from 1 species
GUAGGCAUCUUGUGGUUAAUGGAGACAGAUGGUCUUCCCUUGAUAGAUGCUUCUGGAAAGUUAACAUUCCAGCAGUGACGGUUACAUUCCUGUCAGGCAGGACUUCAGGAAGAGAGGAACUCCGCACCGUUUGAUCAGGAUUCCCAGGUGUGACUUUGCAGGCAUUUUAUUAAUGCUUUUACGAGUUAGAAGAGUUGGGAUAAUUUGCCAUCUGGAGUUUCUCUGCCUUGCUGAUCUGAGCUCAGACCUGCCAAUUUACCAGAGAUAAUUGAUAACACCCUGUAACAGCUGAAGACAGAGUCUUACCCUGUCACCCAGGCUGGAGUACAAUGGUGCGAUCUCGGCUCACUGCAACCUCUGCCUCCUGGGUUCAAGUGAUUCUUCUGCCUCAGCCUCCUGAGUAGCUGGG